GCCAGCAUAGCAUAGUGGUUUGAGCAUUCGACUACAAUUCUGGAGACCAGGGUUUGAAUCCCAGCUCAGACA